rnacentral:rRNA from 1 species
GCCACGCCCGCUCAAGUAAACUAAAGGAAUUGACGGGACCCCGCACAAGCGGUGGAUCAUGUUGUUUAAUUCGAUGAUACGCGAAGAACCUUACCAGGUCUUGACAUCCCCCGCGAUGCUUUAGAGAUAAAGCGGAGGUAUUCGGGGAGACAGGUGGUGCAUGGUUGUCGUCAGCUCGUGUCGUGAGAUGUUGGGUUAAGUCCCGCAACGAGCGCAACCCCUAUUGCUAGUUACCAUCAUUAAGUUGGGGACUCUAGCGAGACUGCCAGUGAUAAACUGGAGGAAGGUGGGGAUGACGUCAAAUCAUCAUGCCCCUUAUGACCUGGGCUACAAACGUGAUACAAUGGCUGGAACAAAGGGAUGCGAAGCAGUGAUGUGGAGCGAAACCCAUAAAAACAGUCUCAGUUCGGAUUGAAGUCUGCAACUCGACUUCAUGAAGUCGGAAUCGCUAGUAAUCGCGGAUCAGAACGCCGCGGUGAAUACGUUCUCGGGGUUU